AAUCUCUACAUGUCUGUUCUAUUAAUAUACCUCUGUAUACUAUAGCGUUGUGUAAUCAAUCAUCUAUUUGCAUGCGGCAGAGAGAUAGAGGUUUUCAGUCUUCCAGUGUCGCUCUGCCCUCAUCAUCAGUAAAAGCUUUCCUCCAGAUCCCCACAGAACACACGGAGGAGACGAAGCAGUGUGCUGAUGUAGUUUAUUGGUUCAGGUAAUUCUUUAUGACGCAUAAAGUGGUUCAAGCGAUCAUUCAAGGAAGCAACAUCAGUUCUCCACGACUGGGAGCAAAACAAUGAACACAAACAAUACAAAAUAAUUAUGAAAGUAUUCUCCUAGACCAGAACCAACCCUGACUGACGUUUGACCCUCAUCGUCGUCAUGACAACCGGUCACAUCUGUCUGCACGAGAGAAAAGAGAACAUCACAGAGGGAAGGGAUGAACAGUGAUAAAUAACACAGCAGACCGCUGAGUGGGUCUGGAGGGAGAUUGGGAGGGUGGAGGUGGUGGAGGAGGAGGUGGAGGUUUACCACGGGGCGAGAUAGGUGGAGGAGGAGGUGGGUCAUCACGGGGAGAGAGAAGUGGAGGAGGAGGUGGUGGAGGAGGAGGUGUGUCAUCUCGGGGAGAGAGAGGUGUAGGAGGAGGGUGGAGGAGGUGGAGGUUUACCACAGAGCGAGAUAGGUGGAGGAGGGUGGAGCAGGAGGUGGGUCAUCACGAGGAGAGAGGUGCCUUCCUCCUCUACAUUCACCAUCUCACAAGUUAGGGAUGGGUUAGAAUCCACGUUAACCUUUAGGGUAACAGGUGGGGAAGGGUUGAGGUGGUGUUAUUAGGGUUUAGGGUGGGUAAGGGGUGAGGGCC
ensembl:lncRNA